rnacentral:rRNA from 1 species
GUUUGUUUGGAGUUAUAAAGAAUUUAACUGCCCCCUGAUUAAUUAUUAAAGGGCCGCAGUAUUAUAACUGUGCAAAGGUAGCAUAAUCAUUAGGUUUUUAAUUGAAAUCUCGUAUGAAUGGUUGGACAAAAGAAAAACUCUCUUUAUAUUAAGUUUUGAAUUUAACUUUUAAGUGAAAAGGCUUAAAUGUCCUAAAGGGACGAUAAGACCCUAUAAAACUUUACAUUGUCAUUAAUUUUGAUUGAAUUUAUGAAAUAAGAAUUUUAUUUGGUUAUUUGUUAUGUUGGGGAGAUAUAAGUAAAAUAUUUUUUUAACUGCUUUGAUAGUUAUACAAUUAUAAAUGGUAAGUAGAAGAUCCUUUUUUAAGAUUAAUAGAUUAAGUUACUUUAGGGAUAACAGUGUGAUUUCUUUUGAGAGUUCCUAUCGAAAAAGAAGAUUGCAACCUCGAUGUUGAAUUAAAAUAUCUAUAUAAUGGAGAGGUUAUAUAAGAAGGUCUGUUCGACCUUGAAAUUUUUACAUGAUUUGAGUUCAAACCGGUGUAAG